CAUCUAUAAAAAAGCCCUUUCUCCUUUUCUAAAUAAGGUAAGCUUUGAAGCCGUAGCUUGCUUGUUUUUCCAUCAUCCAAUCCACAACAAAUCGAAUGAAACCUGGCGAAAAAGAAGUGACCUUGGACCUAAGGAGUGGACUGUCACUGAAUUCCAUCAAAAUCCAAUGAGCAACCCGCCGAGGUUACAACAAUCAUGUUAGACUAAGAAGAGCCUUGGGUUCCAGUCCCUUGGACAGGCCGUCCAGAGUCCAGACCGAUGCUGCGCCUCAUUAGACAGCAGCGAAACAUACAACUCGAUGUUAAUCAAAGUGAAGUUGGUACGCUCCACAGCUCGGAAGGGUAUGACCCUCUCAGCCAUCGGGAUUUCUCCCGUGACGUCCAAUAAGAGCACCUGCUUUCCUAACCUUUUUCGAUAAAGUUUAUCCAUCCUUUUUCAAGAUGACCUGGAAAGGCUUGAC
rnacentral:lncRNA from 1 species